rnacentral:rRNA from 1 species
AUGGCGUCGUUCAUGGCGGCCGUUCUGGUCGUGAUGCUCUUGGCAUCCAGUGCGCCGGCGAGCGAGGCCAGCCCGGCGCCCGCCGAGACUCAGCAGAAUGUGUUCAUCGUCGACAACUACGGUGCCCGUGGCGACGGGAAGCACGACGACGCGCAGCCGCUCGCCAAGGCGUGGAACGCGGCGUGUUCCUCUUCCCGGCCAGCCGUGCUGCUCGUUCCCGAGGGCAAGACCUACCUGCUCAGCUCCGUCACCUUGUCUGGCCCAUGCAAGUCCAGCGUCGUCUUCAUGGUCAAAGGGACGCUGGUGGCUCCUCGGAGCAGGUCGGCGUGGAGCCAGAACGACACAAGUCAACAAGGCGUCACCGGUCUCACCGUCUCCGGUGGCGGCACGAUCAACGGCAACGGCGGCGUCUGGUGGACGAACUCAUGCAAGGUCAACAAGGCUCUGCCGUGCACCAAGGCGCCGACGGCCCUCACGUUUCACCAGUGCAACAAUCUGCAGGUGGAGAACCUUAAGCUAGUAAACAGCCAGCAGAUCCAUCUCUCGGUCGAGGACUGCAGCGGCGUGCAACUGGCCCGCCUGUCCAUCACGGCGCCCGGCACCAGCCCCAACACCGACGGCAUCCACGUCACCCGUAGCAGAGAUGUGCAAGUCAAAGAUUGCGUCAUCAAGACCGGGGACGACUGCGUCUCCAUCGAGAAUGGAACCCACAAUCUUUUUGUCAGUAAAGUUGUUUGUGGUCCGGGGCAUGGAAUUAGUGUCGGGAGCUUAGGAGACGGCAACUCCAGAGCCGAGGUCUCUGGAAUCACAAUCGACUCGGUGCAAUUAUACGGCACCACCAAUGGUGCCCGGAUCAAGACAUGGCAGGGAGGGAGCGGGUAUGCCAAGGGCAUCACGUUCCAGAACAUGGUCAUGGACAACGUGCAAAACCCCAUUAUCAUUGACCAGAACUACUGCGACUCCGCCAAGCCAUGCAAUAGAGGUAAGGGAUCUGCUGUGGAGGUCAGCAAUGUCGUCUUCAAGAACAUUAGAGGGACAACCGUCUCCAAGGAUGCCAUCAAGCUGAGCUGCAGCGAUACCAUCUCAUGCUCCAACAUCGUCUUGGAGAAUAUCGACCUGAAAAUGGAAGGCGGCAAGGGUGACACAGAAAGCACUUGCCGGAAUGCAAAAUGGCAAGAAUCAGGAACCGUUGUUCCACAACCCUGCCAAUUCCAAAACUAG